GGCGAGAUGGCCGAGUGGUCUAAGGCGCUAGAUUUAGGUAUUCCAAUCUCUAGUCCUCCGGGGCGUGGGUUCGAAUCCCACUCUCGUCA